UCUGGACGCAACGAUCCGUAAUCUUCUUUCGUUUUAAUUAAAAAUGACAAAAAUAAUACUCGCUAAAGUGACGGAAAUAGAUAUAACGUAUAGUAAUUCCUUUUAUUAGUACGAAUAUAAAGUUGUCUAUAAUAAAAUAAACGUCUACUAGUAUAUCGAUUUGAAUUUGAUUUAUUAGAUUUUACUGUCAUGAACGCAACUCAAAAUUUUUUCUAAAAAUUAAAUGCAUGCCAAUUAAAGAGAAUCGUACAGAUUAGGAACCUGAAUUUCCGCCAAUUAUCACAAAAUGGGUUUCUCGAUGAAUGUAAAUAAGAAACACUUGAUUUCUUUCGCUUUAUUAUAAUUGUCCAGGAAGUGUAUAAUCGACAGAAAUUCGAAUUCUACUUACAUACGUCGAUGGUCGGUGACGGAAUGUUGUUUUGAGGUGAAACAACAUUCGAGCCGUGCGAGGUCGGUGAAGGAAGCGGACUGGGUUUACAAAUGAUUUGCUCAGAGGUACUACUUCCACUAUCAGUCCCGUACGUUACAGUCGGCUCGUUGUAACCAGGCAAUUCGACUUCAGGCUUUAUUUCUAUCAUCAUCGAAUCAGCCGUGGAACCAUGAACCGAAUUACUACUAAACCGAUAUUUGCAAGAGGAUAAGAGAUGUCUACGUAGAUUUCUCGCUUGCCGUAACGUAGCGCCACAGAGUGGACAAACGCCUGGACAAUCAGAUGCACCACGUAUUUUAGAUAAAUUCAUAUUGCCGGUUGGUCCACUAGCCACCGUUCCCACCGUUGCACUCUGGGUAACUAGUGGGAGCGGUAUACCAGGUGGAAAGCCCAUAUUAAGAGGACCAGGAAAUUGCGGUAUUUGUAGCGGAGAAUAUGGCUGCAUUGGCAUUAAUGUAUGAAGAUGCGUUUCACUUUCCGACAUUUGAUCCUGAUGCUGUCCUGCUUGAGAAUUUUCCGACGACACUGGCUGCGCUUCUUGAGCACGUGGCGAGUGACAACCCCGAUGAUUCGAAUAUUCCAACCGAUCGUUCGCUGCUAACAGACACAAACACAACAUUACCAUGCAGGGCUGAACUGAUUUUUAGCUGUGAAAUUUUUCAAUUAUUAUCAGUUCAAUUAGAUGCAGUUCAACCCAAUUGAUGGUUGUGCUUGUGUCCGUUUCUUAUGUAGGUAAAAUAUUUGGAAAGAAGUUUGAAAAUUGAUGGAUCAUACUCCAAAAAUAUAUUGACAAUGUGAUCAAAAUAAUCGGACACAAAACACAAGUAGCAUUGUAGAUUCAUUCUUAUUCAAAUCUGUUUACUAAACCAAUUGAAUGUACAGAAUAAUAAAAAUGAUAGAAACAGUUUAA